rnacentral:rRNA from 1 species
GAUGAACGCUGGCGGCGUGCCUAAUACAUGCAAGUCGAGCGAAUGGAUUAAGAGCUUGCUCUUAUGAAGUUAGCGGCGGACGGGUGAGUAACACGUGGGUAACCUGCCCAUAAGACUGGGAUAACUCCGGGAAACCGGGGCUAAUACCGGAUAACAUUUUGAACCGCAUGGUUCGAAAUUGAAAGGCGGCUUCGGCUGUCACUUAUGGAUGGACCCGCGUCGCAUUAGCUAGUUGGUGAGGUAACGGCUCACCAAGGCAACGAUGCGUAGCCGACGUGAGAGGGUGAUCGGCCACACUGGGAGUGAGACACGGCCCAGGCGCCUACGGGAGGCAGCAGUGGGGAAUCUUCCGCAAUGGACGAAAGUCUGACGGAGCAACGCCGCGUGAGUGAUGAAGGCUUUCGGGUCGUAAAACUCUGUUGUUAGGGAAGAACAAGUGCUAGUUGAAUAAGCUGGCACCUUGACGGUACCUAACCAGAAAGCCACGGCUAACUACGUGCCAGCAGCCGCCGUAA